GAAAAAAUGGCUGAGUGGUUAAAAGCAAUAGAUUGUAAAUCUAUCGAAUUAAUAUUCUACAUAGGUUCGAAUCCUAUUUUUUUCA
rnacentral:tRNA from 1 species